ensembl:miRNA Mir7040 microRNA 7040
UCUCCCAUACGGAGGGAGAUGGAGGCACCCUCAGUGGUAACCACCACCCUCUCUCUCAUAUAG